GGGGACGCGUGGUUUCGACAGGGGGAGUGUGCUCAGAGUAGCAGGCCGAGGCGCCAUCACCUCGUAAAAAGGUGGCAAAACACAACUGCCGAAGCAGUUCCAGUAGCAGCCUAAGAGGUUGCCGUUCAACCCGAUCUCACCCUGACGGGUCGGGAUUGAGCGCAACAACAGCCGGGGUGCGGCAGCUCUGACGCCGAUAUGGGGUUGCCAAAGAAAAAGUCGGCUGGCUCCGGCGUACUCGGUCGAAUGAGGCCGGCGGGGCGAGAAACAAAGAAUCGACUAAGCCUGUAGUCGACUCUGGGUGAGCUUCUUCUGGACGGGGAGUUCGACUCUCCCCCGUCUCCACCA
rnacentral:tmRNA from 1 species